GCAGCACCUGCGGUAAUUCCAGCGCCAAUAGCGUAUACUAACGUUGCUGCAGUUAAAACGCCCGUAGUUGAAUUAGUAUCAUGGUAUUUUAACCUUAUUCGAUGAAUUUGAGUUGAAAGCUAGGAUAUAUAGGAAGCGAUUCCUCAUUUACUGUAAAAAAAUUAGAGUGUUUCACACAGAUCGUACGAUCGGGAUAUAUUAGUAUGGAAUAAUAAGAUAGGACUUUGGUGCUAUUUUGUUGGUUUGCACACCAAAGUAAUGAUUAAUAGGGACAGUUGGGGGUAUUCGUAUUUAAUUGUCAGAGGUGAAAUUCUUGGAUUUAUGAAAGACGAACUACUGCGGAAGCAUUUACCAAGGAUCUUUUCAUUAAUGAAGAACGAAAGU
rnacentral:rRNA from 1 species